GUUUAUGUAGUGUAGUUGUUAUCACUUUUGCCUCACACGCUAAAGGUCCCGGGUUCCAAACCGGGCGGAAACA
rnacentral:tRNA from 1 species